CGAAGGUGGCGGAAUUGGUAGACGCGCUAGCUUCAGGUGUUAGUGUCCUUACGGACGUGGGGGUUCAAGUCCCCCCCCUCGCACCAA
rnacentral:tRNA from 1 species